UGUGUGAUUAAUAUACAGGAAGUGCGUUGAGAGGUGUGUAUCUAUGGUGUGUGAUUAAUAUACAGGAAGUGCAUUGAGAGGUGUGUAUCUAUGGUGUGUGAUUAAUAUACAGGAAGUGCUUUGGGAGGUGUGUAUCUAUGAUGUGAUUUACAGGAAGUUCAUUGCGAGGUGUGAGCUAAAGUCUGCGUCUGGAUGUGAUGCGUCGCUCGUAAAAACACAUGAGGUACGGAGACACAUGACACUAUUUAUUGAUCAAUUGUUUGAUUGCACAGUUUAAGUCAGACAGCACAUUACUUAUUUCUCUCAAUUCCCUGGCUUCCUCGUCGGAGUCAGUCGAGUCCCCUUGCACCUGCAGGGCUGCAUCU
ensembl:lncRNA